rnacentral:rRNA from 1 species
UACGAAGGGGGCUAGCGUUGUUCGGAAUUACUGGGCGUAAAGCGUGCGCAGGCGGCUUCUCAAGUCAGGGGUGAAAGCCCAGAGCUCAACUCUGGAAUUGCCUUUGAGACUGAGAGGCUUGAGUACGGGAGAGGUGAGUGGAAUUCCCAGUGUAGAGGUGAAAUUCGUAGAUAUUGGGAAGAACACCGGUGGCGAAGGCGGCGACCUGGUCCUUUACUGACGCUGAGGCGCGAAAGCGUGGGGAGCGAACAGG